rnacentral:rRNA from 1 species
CGGGUGGUAAUGCCGGAUGUUCCAGUUGAUCGCAUGGUCUUCUGGGAAAGCUUUCGCGGUAUGGGAUGGGGUCGCGUCCUAUCAGCUUGACGGCGGGGUAACGGCCCACCGUGGCUUCGACGGGUAGCCGGCCUGAGAGGGCGACCGGCCACAUUGGGACUGAGAUACGGCCCAGACUCCUACGGGAGGCAGCAGUGGGGAAUAUUGCACAAUGGGCGCAAGCCUGAUGCAGCGACGCCGCGUGAGGGAUGGAGGCCUUCGGGUUGUAAACCUCUUUUAUCGGGGAGCAAGCGAGAGUGAGUUUACCCGUUGAAUAAGCACCGGCUAACUACGUGCCAGCAGCCGCGGUAAUACGUAGGGUGCAAGCGUUAUCCGGAAUUAUUGGGCGUAAAGGGCUCGUAGGCGGUUCGUCGCGUCCGGUGUGAAAGUCCAUCGCUUAACGGUGGAUCCGCGCCGGGUACGGGCGGGCUUGAGUGCGGUAGGGGAGACUGGAAUUCCCGGUGUAACGGUGGAAUGUGUAGAUAUCGGGAA